UAGGGAACCUUCCACAAUGGGCGCAAGCCUGAUGGAGCAACACCGCGUGAGUGAAGAAGGGUUUCGGCUCGUAAAGCUCUGUUGUUAAAGAAGAACACGUAUGAGAGUAACUGUUCAUACGUUGACGGUAUUUAACCAGAAAGUCACGGCUAACUACGUGCCAG
rnacentral:rRNA from 1 species